GACGGAGGGUGCUAGCGUUGUUCGGAAUUACUGGGCGUAAAGGGCGCGUAGGCGGCUGCUCAAGUCGGGUGUGAAAGCCCGGGGCUCAACCCCGGAACGGCACCCGAGACUGGGCGGCUCGAGACCGGGAGAGGUGGGUGGAAUACCCAGUGUAGAGGUGAAAUUCGUAGAUAUUGGGUGGAACACCGGUGGCGAAAGCGGCUCACUGGCCCGGGUCUGACGCUGAGGCGCGAAAGCGUGGGGAGCAAACAGG
rnacentral:rRNA from 1 species